AAUCUGUUUUAACAAACUCUCCAUGUGAUUCUGAGGCACUUUAAGAAUUAAGAACCAUUGGUCUAUAGAUCAUGAGUUAGGAGAUAAUCAGAACCACUAGGAGUCAAACCAGGGAGUUUUCUUUCUGUUCCAGUUUUUCUUUUCUGUAUUUGAGGUUAGCAGCCAGGAAUUAACUGGGACAGUUUCCUCGUUCUUUACCUGUCACAGUUGUCCUCAUUAGGAACCAACUGUGACAAUAUCUCCCCUAAGUGUAAGUCUGGAGUGAGCCUGUCAUCUGAUCCUUGCUUGUUGAUUUUUGGCAUAACAUGUGCUCCCAGUGGCACUUGGUGUAGAGAUAACCACUAUUGACACUUACAUUCAAAAAGAGGGAAGAUGGAAGGAGUCCACAGGAAUUCUGAAAUCCAGCCAGAUUUCCCCAUCGCUGGGUCCUUUGCACCAUCCAGAUUUCAGCUUAAAAAUAACAUCUUCAGAGAUAACUUACCCUGACUACCCAAUUUAAAUGAAUACCUGUCAUGUCUUUAUAUCAAAGCAUUCUGUUCUAUUAGACUUCACAAUACUAAUUACCAGCUGAAAUUAAUCUCUUCCAUUUGUUUAUUUAGGUGCUUAUUAUCUGACUAUACAACUUUGGAAGGUACAUUUUAGGAGUAGAGACCUUGCUUGUUUUUCAGUUUGUCUCCCUAAAGCUGAAAAGUGCCUUUGGCAAGCAGACAUUAAAUAUUUGUCACAUAAGUGACUUUAUGACAAAUGUGCCUCUAAGUAAAGAUUCAACUAGUAUGGAAAUACCAUAAUAUUAACUAGCACAUAUUAAUUUACUUAUGAAAUACUGCUCUGGGUAGAUUAU